GCCGCCGAAGCUCAAACGGAUGAGCGCCGGGACCGACUCGCCCGGGGGAUGCAGGUUCGAGCCCUGCCGGCGGCC
rnacentral:tRNA from 1 species